ACCUUUAACUCAUUUGUCCCCCUCCCCUCAGCUCCUGACAACCACCAUCCUACUCUCUUUAUAUGAAUUUGACUA